CCUUCCAGACCGUGGCACCCACUUGUAGCUCUGGGACUUCCAGUCCUGUCCUCAUCACACUUCUUUUGAAAAGUCUUUCCAUCCCAUCUUGGGUCCCCCACUCCCUUUCUUGCUGUCCUCUUUAGGGUUGAAUUGGUUGGAUGUAUUCCUGGAGAUUUCAUCACAUGACAUAAUCUUUAAUUAAAGAUUAAUUUUUAAUUCCUGGAAACUCCGGGCCAAUCUGGGAGGGUUGGCAAUGCUAGUCUUCUUCCUCCUGUGCUUUCUCUCCUGGGCAUUCUCCAGUUCUUAUCACAUAGGCAGCCUGCCUCAAAAAUGCCAUCUGCAGUCUAUCACUGACAGUCCCACCAUCUUCUCCCUAAUAUUUUACCAUGUGCACUCUGUCUCCCCUCUGCUUCUCUGCCAUUCUCCUUAGUGUGUUAUUUUCUUCCACCGUCCAUCUCUAUAAGACUCAACAAUAAGGCAACAGUAAUAUUUUGUUUAAAUUUAUUUCUAGUAAUAAAGUACUUUCCAAACAGAAGAGAUGGCACAAGUCUUGCCCCAAGGAAUUCAUAAUCUAAAGACAGUUGAAAAAGGCUGAGCUGCUCUUGUCCAAUCAUGCCACUCUGCUGAAACAAUGGGCUGGACAAGAUGCCUCAGAAGAGCUACAUGCUGCAGAUUUUGUUUCCAUGCUCAAACACAGCCUGCACAAACUGCUUGAAGACUCUGUCCAUUGAAUUCAGAUGGCCAAAAGUAUUUAGAGGUGAAUGGCUAGAACAUUGAUCCACUGGGUAACCUACAGAAGAACCCUUGAUAAAAGAAAAAUAAAGAACCCUCCUACUGCCUGUCUCCACUCACCUUAGCGAUGCUACUGAGGUAAUAGCAGGCGAAGGCGGCGCUGAAGCCCAGCACCAGGGACAAGCCCACACUGGAACCGAAGAGCCCCACCGGCACCUGGAUCUCCAGCUGUGACACAGUGGGUAUGAUCACACUGCAAUUAAAAACCUGUGGCUGAUCUGUGCCAGCUGACUUGAACUUGUGGGGCUCAGGCUAAGGGACUGUUUAAUUGCAGAACAGAUGUUUGGACUUGGACUCUAGGACCCGGCAAAGUGGGGUAGGUGUGCCAGUAGCUAUUCUUCCUACAAUGUUUCUUUGUAUGUAAAAAGCAACAAAGAGUCCCGUGGCACCUUAUAGACUAACAGAUGUAUUAGAGCAUAAGCUUUCGUGGGUGAAUACCCACUUCAUCAGACGCAUGUAAUGGACAUUUCCAGAGGCAGGUAUAAAUAUGCAGGCCAGAAUCAGUCUGGAGAUAACGAGGUUAGUUCAGUCAGGGAGGAUGAGGCCCUCUUCUAGCAGUUGAGUUGUGAACACCAAGAGAGGGGAAACUGCUUUUGUAGUUGGCUAGCCAUACCUCAACUGCUAGAAGAGAGCCUCAUCCUCCCUUGUUGCUUUUUACAGAUCCAGACUAACACGACUACUCCUCUGAUCUCUGUAUGUAGCCAAAUUAAGUCUCCUAUAAAAAGCAAUGAGUCCUGUGGCACCUUAAAGACUAACAGAUGUAUUGGAGCAUAAGCUUUCAUGGGUGAAUGCGUCUGAUGAAGAGGGUAUUCACCCACGAAAGCUUAUGCUCCAAUACAUCUGUUAGUCUUUAAGGUGCCACAGGACUCAUUGCUUUUUACAGAUCCAUACUAAUACGACUACCUCUCUGAUACUUAAGUCUUCUAGUAAUUCUCUGAUAUCUUCUCAGAGAUAAGUAAAACAUGAUUUUGUUCCUAUGUACCCAAUUCCAAGAGACACCGGAGUUGUAAAUGAGGGCGAAAGGGGAAUCUGGUGUGAAAUUUGUUUAUAGCUUUUUCAAAGGAGUAGAGUCCAAAAUUCCAAAGAUACUUGCUACAUUUACAAUGCUCUUUGCCCUCCAUUCCUUAGAUAUCUUAUUGGAUCAAACUACUUUUAAUGUAUUGAGAGGGAAGCCACAGAUUUCUAUUUGAUUUUGUAUGCUUGUCUCUAAACCAGUUUAUUCAAACAGAUUACUCAACCUAUUGUUUAUCUAGUCUUCUUUGUAACUAGUUGCUUUGUAAAAGUAAUUAAAAGAUACCUCACUCGGGUGCUCUGCUAUUUUUGCUGCAAAGUGGUUAUGCCAUGAUGGGGGGCUUUAGGGAGAAUUAUUGGGUUUUUGGAUUAAAGAAAGUCUCCAGUUACAAAAAUAAUGAUCUUGUGGGUGGAGGGAGCCUUGCUAAUUCCUUUAGUACUAGUUUAUUUUUUCAGAGGAAAAUCAGGUGGCUAUUGGAGCUGAGACACCGUCUUGAAGAAAGAGGCUGGUGGGGAGCAGCAGUCUGAGAAGGGAGAGCUGGAACAGUGACAGGAGAAUCAGGGUGUCUGGAAAAGGAGGAGUUGAAGUGACAGCCUGAGUAGAGGGGGAAUUUGAGAGGCAGCUUUGGCAUGAUCUGUAGUCAUAGCUGCCAAUGGACAGGCCAACUGGCUGAAGAGGCUUAUGGGAAGAAUUGUUGCAAAUGAAGAAGUGAGAAGAGUCUAGUGAGGAAGAGGGACUGAGGAAGAACAGCAAGAGACUGCCCAAAAAAAGAACCUGAGAGCAAAUGGUUUGCAGCAUGACAGGAAUUUUGCAAGUUCUUUGCUCUCACUGCAAUUCUGAAUGGGCCACCAAAUUGCUGUGUAAGUAUGAAAUGCUUAAAGGGAAAAUUAGGCUUAUGCACUCUAUUUCUUUGUGAAGAAGUUCUGAAAGUUUUUAACUUUAAAUUAAAAGAGGGUGCUUUUCUGCUUGUCCUUCAAGUCUUGUUUACCCUGGAAGACACUCAGGAUAUGUCCACAUGGGGAUAAAAAUCCCUAUGACACAGCUGGCCUGGGUCAGCUGACUUGGGCUUGUGAUUCUCAGGCUCUGGGGCUGAAAAAUUGCUGUGUAGAUAUUUGGGCUUGGGCUGGAGCCUGAGCUCUGGGACCUUGCAAAGGUAGAGGACAAAUUACAUUCAGCGUCAUGUGAGCUAAUUUUCAUUAAACCUAGCUUAGGCCACUGUUUAAUCAUUUUAGGUGACAUGAUGCUGAACAUAAUUGUUCACAACCAUGUUAAAACAUGGUACAAUUCUGUGGCAUAUUCCAGGCUGCUAUCAGCCAUCUUUGCCUGAAGUGCCCCACUCUAUUAGUAAAUGUUGAUCUUUCCGAGAAGGCUUGUGUUUGCUACUUCCUGAGACAAAUGCUAAGCUGCAGAAAUGCUAAAAUAUUCCUCAGUACUGUGGAACUUGCUGCAAAAUCCAUUGUUCGCCACAGGAAUGUGAUCAAAAUGUCAUUUCUAGCCCUUAUAGUUCUGAAGAUUCCUCCAAAUGGUGACCUGAGUACAAACCAAUACAGUGGUGCCUUCCUGAGUUUACAGACAGCAUGAAACAAUAAUUCAGAGACGUGUGAACUCCCCCAUGAAUUUGAUAAUUCUGAAACCCAAAGAUCACAAUUUGUGGCCUACUGACAAUGUGGGACAGCAUAAAAUAAACUAAAUUAGUAUAAAAAUAAACUACUGUAUUGGGUAUAUUUCUCAUAUUCAUCUCUAAUCCAGUUAAAACUGCCAUUUAAAAAACUUAUCUGAAACUGCCAUAGAACUGUGACAAUUUUUACCAGACUGCCACAGAAUCUAGGGACUUUCCGAUAGAAUGUGGGUUAAGUUUGCUGUGGAGUACAUAGACCCUUGUCUAUAGCUACAGUUGAGGUAAUACUUCCAUUUGAACUCCCCUAUUUUCAUUCCCUUAUAAAUAUCUCAAUUUUUUGUCUGAAAAGUUGCAUGCUUAAAUUAAGCACAGAAACAAAACAUUUUAUAGUGUUUUAUACUACUUUUAGUUAUUUAAAAACCAUCUCAAAGCAAACAGUGAAAUGCUGGCUUCCUUGAAGUCAAUGGUAGCUGGCCAUUGACAUCGGUGGAGUCAGGAUUUCACACAAGGAGAUUUUUUUCCACCUAAAAAAUGGUUUAGAUUUCCUUUUGCAUGAUAGCUAUGAAAACUACUUAUAAAACUUUUUGUGUAAUCUUGAAUGAGGUGUGUGUAUAUAUAUGUAUGUUAAGAGUAUGCACUGUACAUAACUCAUCAAAAAUUCAGCAACAUGCACUAAGGCAGGGGUCGGAAACCUACGGUACAUGUGCCAAAGGUGGCAUGUGAGCCAAUUUUUGAUGGCACACGGGGCGGGCUAAGCCUCUGAGCCUGCCGCCGCUCUGGGGUUCCCGCUGCUGGCCCCCUGCCAGCGGGGUCCCACCGCCGGUCCCACUCAGCACCUGCUGCUGACCUGGGGGAAGGAACCUCAGGCUGGCAGCAGGCUCAGACCCUGGCUGGCAGGAGCUGGCGGCCGAAACCCCCAGAGCUGGGUCGGGCUGAGCGGCUCAGUCGCUGCUCUGGGGUUCUGGCUGCUGGCUCCUUGCCAGCCGGCAUCCCACACUCCCAAGUCCCAGUCAGGACCUGUUGCUGGCCUGAGUGAAGGAACCCCAGGCUGGCAGCAGGCUGAGACCCCGUCUGGCAGGAGCCAGCAGCCGAAACCCCAGAGCGGCGGCAGCGGGCUGAGCCACUCAGUCGCUGCUCUGGGGUUCUGGCUGCUGGCCCCUUGCCAACCGGGGUCCCCACCGCAGCCCCACUCACCUUGCUUCUGGCUGGAGUUCCAACGCAGGCCCCCUGCCAGACAGGGUCUAGGCCUCCGGCCCUGCUCAUCUCUACCAGUCGCCAGCUCCACUCACCUCAGCUGCUGAUCUGGGGUUCCAGCGGGUUAACAAGUGAUCACUCAGAAGCCUGUGUGCAGCUUAAAGUAUCCAAAUAUGUGCCAGACAUUGGAAAACUCAGCAAGGAAAAGCAAGGGCAAGGAUCACACUAAACUGAUAAGAGCUGCAUUUUAAUUUAAUUUUAAAUAAAGCUUCUGAAACAUUUUGAAAACCUUGUUUAUUUACAUAUAACAGUAGUUUGGUUAUAUAUUAUAGACUUAUAGAGAGACCUUCUAAAAAACGUUAAAAUGUAUUACUGGCAUGCGAAGCCUUAAAUUAGGGUGUAUACAUGAAGACUCGGCACACCACUGCUGAAAGGUUGCCGAUCCCUGCACUAAGGUAUGUGUCUUAGGGCAUUUGUAGGAGCAUUUUUCAUAAAUGCAUAUCCAAAUAACCACACCUGGUAUGUAUGAAAUCUAAUACUCUUAUCUAUUAAAACUUGCAUUAAUGUAAUGUCAAGAUUGAGACUUCAAUUGCUUAUGUUAAAACAUUAAAAAAUUAAGAUUAUUGUG